CUGCCCGUGGCGCAGCCCGGUAGCGCGCAACCUUGGGGUGGUUGAGGUCGCAAGUUCAAAUCUUGUCGGGCAGACCA
rnacentral:tRNA from 1 species